GACGGAGGAUGCAAGCGUUAUCCGGAAUGAUUGGGCGUAAAGCGUCCGCAGGUGGCAGUUCAAGUCUGCUGUCAAAGACCGGGCUUAACUUCGGAAAGGCAGUGGAAACUGAACAGCUAGAGUAUGGUAGGGGCAGAGGGAAUUCCUGGUGGUAGCGGUAAAAUGCGUAGAGAUCAGGAAGAACAUCGGUGGCGAAGGCGGGUCUCUGGGCCGAUACUGACGCUGAGGAGCGAAAGCGUGGGGAGCGAACAGG
rnacentral:rRNA from 1 species